rnacentral:ribozyme from 14 species
GAAAGGAAGAACUUAAUAAAAAAGAUAAAGAAAGAGGUCUUCGUACCUCGCUUCUUCAUCUUCUUCAUCUUCUUCCUUCAUCUUCUUCAUCUUCUUCAUC